GUACACUCCUGCGGGAGGCAGCAGUGGGGAAUUUUGGACAAUGGGCGAAAGCCUGAUCCAGCAAUGCCGCGUGAGUGAAGAAGGCCUUCGGGUUGUAAAGCUCUUUUGUCAGGGAAGAAACGGUAAGAGCUAAUAUCUCUUGCUAAUGACGGUACCUGAAGAAUAAGCACCGGCUAACUACGUGCCAGCAGCCGCGGUAAUACGUAGGGUGCAAGCGUUAAUCGGAAUUACUGGGCGUAAAGCGUGCGCAGGCGGUUUUGUAAGUCUGAUGUGAAAUCCCCGGGCUCAACCUGGGAAUUGCAUUGGAGACUGCAAGGCUAGAAUCUGGCAGAGGGGGGUAGAAUUCCACGUGUAGCAGUGAAAUGCGUAGAUAUGUGGAGGAACACCGAUGGCGAAGGCAGCCCCCUGGGUCAAGAUUGACGCUCAUGCACGAAAGCGUGGGGAGCAAACAGGAUUAGAUACCCCUGUAGUCCCAUG
rnacentral:rRNA from 1 species